GGGUUGAUUCUGUAGUAAUUAGGAAUAUAUGCAUUUCUUAUUUUAACAACAUCAGCAUUGUUACAAAGUGAUAUGUAAUGAUACUCAUCUCCAAGACCAGUUUUACAAAGCUUACAUUUUCUUUCAAUUUCUGGAAUUCUAUUCCAUCUCCCUGUUUCAAUCGGAAAUUUGAUAUUGCAAGUACGAAGUUUGCAAAUAUAAAGUCUACUAAAUUUUCUUAGUCUAACUAGAUACGGUUCCAUACAAAAGUCAGUCUUAAAUUUUGAAUAAAACUUCCCCCUUGAUGAGUUAUCGAUAUCCGAAAACCAUUUUUGUAUGAACUGGUCAUGGAGUAUUUGUUUAACGUUAAAUUUUAAAAAAUUCAAAUUAACGUUUCCUUGUACCUGCCAUAUUUCACUGUUACCAGUUUCAUCAAAUAUAGAUUUUACAUAAUUAAUCCACUUAAAAGAAUUAUUUCCAUUUUCACAUAAAUUAAACAUAAGCUUGUAGAGUUUUCCAGACAGUUUAUCAACAUUUGUUACAAGCUUAUACCAGAAACAAAUCAUUUUCAUCUUGAUACUAAUUUCGAUAGGAAAUCGGCCAAGUUCACCAUAGACCAUGAAAUUUGCGGUCGAUGACCUCACC
rnacentral:lncRNA from 1 species